rnacentral:rRNA from 1 species
ACGGUACCUCCUGAAUCAGCCACGGCCAACUUCGUGCCACCAGCCGCGGUAAUACUAACGUGGCAAGCGUUGUUCGGAUUCACUGGGCGUACAGGGUGUGUACGCGGGUUGGUAAGCCUUCUGUUAAAGCUUCGGGCCCUACCCGGAAAGCGCACAGGGUACUGCCAGGCUAGAGGGUGGGAGAGGAGCGCGGAAUUCCCGGUGUAGCGGUGAAAUGCGUAAAGAUCGGGAGGAAGGCCGGUGGCGAACGCGGCGCUCUGGAACAUACCUGACGCUGAGACACGAAAGCGUGGGGAGCAAACGGGAUUAGAUACCCUGGUAGUCCACGCCCUAAACUAUGGAUACUAAGUGUCGGCGGGUUACCGCCGGUGCCGCAGCUAACGCAUUAAGUAUCCCGCCUGGGAAGUACGGCCGCAAGGUUGAAACUCAAAGGAAUUGACGGGGGCCCGCACAAGCGGUGGAGCAUGUGGUUUAAUUCGACGCAACGCGAAUAACCUUACCCAUGUUGGACAUGCACGUAAUAUAAGGGUGAAAGCCUUACGAGGUAGCAA